GCCCCAUAUGCUCUCCAACUAUGACACAGGUGCAUGAUAGGGUGCGAAAGAACAUGAUAUCGAUACUCGGUAAUCGGGGCUCCAGCGUUGAACGGCGACGGAGACGGGUGUUCGAACCAGAAGCGGUCCCGAGGUCUGCGAGGUCGUCGCCGAAGUCCGCGAGAAGGCCAUCGACCCCUUCCGCAUCUCAGGUGAUGGAACCUAUGCAAUGAAGUGAUCAUUCAAUCCCAGGAGCAGUCGGAAUUGAUCAGGCACGAGAUCUGUGUCUGUUCUCUGUUCGGUCAUCAUUAAGAAUUAUUUGCAAGUGAACCAAUUUGUAAAGGAACACAUCAGAAAGUGAUUUGUAAAGGAACCAAUUUGUUCAGUCAUCACAGCCAUUGCAUACUCAGAAGAUAGCUCGCGUGAAAUAGAAGAAAGAUAAAUUGUUCAUGCCAAAACAAAGAUUGGUCACCUCUUCUUUAUCGUAUGAAGAUGGAGCUAGGUGUUGGAGAAGCCCUAAGGGCAGGUGAAUCAUUCAUGCCGGCUGACAUGAUGCAUGGCUUAUCGACCUGUCGAUGCAGCUGUAGUGCAUCUGACGCUGACAUAAAAUGGCAGAAAUUAACCAUAUGGAGCUUAGCUACAUCUCUACUGCCACGUAUUGUAUGGAAAACAAAGGUCAUCCACAAAGCUUUUUCUUUUUUUUUGUUCUUCAUUUGUUGAGUGGACUGUAACUGUUUCUUCUUUUUCUGGACUAGAAAAAAUCAAUUGGAGUUAAGAGUUUCAUCUUGGAGAGAAUUUUUACAUUAUAUUGUUGAUGGAUAUUUGGCAUUUCCUAGUUGGCAGAUAUAAUUCGACGUUAAUCACUAUCAACCCAGACUGUUAAACAAAGAGAAGUGCAUGGUCACCAAUGAGCUAAACAUCGUAAUGAACCUUUACGUCGAAAGCCACUUUCUGUUGGUGAUUUCCUGUUUCAGACUCCUCAUAUUCUUGCAUUGAAUCGCCUUUUGGUGGUGACUCAAGUUGUCUGAAAUUGAUAUUUCAAAUGCGAAGGUGAUCGACGGGUAGAUUAUCAUUGGUUGAAGUAGCAGGAAGAAUCAAAUCAAGUGCUCAUUGACUCGAUCCUGAUAUUGGAACUUGGAAGUGCAUCAGACAUAUUAUUGGAGUGCUAUGCUUGACAAACAAGAUUGAUCCAUCUGAAUCCAUUAUCAGAUGGUAGAUAUCACAAUCAGUUUUUGCUAGUUAUGCUGUUUAUAUUCUAUUCUAACAGUUAUGCUGAAAACUACAUCCAAGAGUAUCUUUUCAUCUUUUAACUCUUGACUACCCCAGUCUGUUCUAAUUUGUACACCUAAUCCAUAUUUUCUUGUAUUUGAGUCUUUUAAACCUCUGGUUUGGAACUUGGAGGUGAUGAUAAAUGUAUGAUAAUUGGCUCUUGUUAGAAGAUCUUUUAUCUGU